AGAUUGAACGCUGGCGGCAUGCCUUACACAUGCAAGUCGAACGGCAGCACGGGGGCAACCCUGGUGGCGAGUGGCGAACGGGUGAGUAAUGCAUCGGAACGUGCCCAGUAGUGGGGGGAUAACUAGUCGAAAGAUUAGCUAAUACCGCAUACGACCUAUGGGUGAAAGCGGGGGAUUCGCAAGAACCUCGCGCUAUCGGAGCGGCCGAUGUCUGAUUAGCUAGUUGGCGGGUAAAAGCCCACCAAGGCUUCGAUCAGUAGCUGGUCUGAGAGGACGACCAGCCACACUGGGGACUGAGACACGGCCCAG
rnacentral:rRNA from 1 species